rnacentral:rRNA from 1 species
CAGCAGCCGCGGUAAUACGAAGGGUGCAAGCGUUAAUCGGAAUUACUGGGCGUAAAGCGCGCGUAGGUGGUGGUUUAAGUCCGUUGUGAAAGCCCUGGGCUCAACCUGGGAAUUGCAGUGGAUACUGGGUCACUAGAGUGUGGUAGAGGAUAGUGGAAUUUCCGGUGUAGCAGUGAAAUGCGUAGAGAUCGGAAGGAACAUCUGUGGCGAAGGCGACUAUCUGGGCCAACACUGACACUGAGGCACGAAAGCGUGGGGAGCAAACAGGAUUAGAUACCCGCGUAGUCCCUGUCUCUUAUAC